AUGCCACCGCGCACUACCAACGCCCCUCCGUUGUGCGCCUUUCCCACCCCUGCGGCUUUCCACCAUCAGCGACACUUGAUGCCGGAGCCGCACCUUCCCCCAAUCCUCCUCUCUCGCCGCGACCCGACGCCGUCGUCCACCACCAUCAGCCCAGACCCCGUGUGUUCCUUUUCCAGUGACGCUACUCACCCUCCCUCCUCUCUUAGCCGACGUCGAGUGCUCCGGCAACGGCAAAAGACAGUUCCAAACUGUUUGCCUCGCCUCUCAAUCACAGGUGAGCCGACGAGAGCUGGUUUCUCUCCUCCCCGGCGCUCUUCUUCACCUAGCCGGAGCACCUACUCCUUCCAUCAUGCACAGAUUGACAGAGCAGUUCGAUGGUCAUUGCCCAGGCUACGUGCAUCGCUGCCGCCCCGAUAUCGAUUCCCACCCAAGCGGCUGGCCUCCUUGCGGUGGUGGUCUUCACCCUCUUUCAUCACCAUGAAGCAGAUCGUCAUUGUGGCGCUGUCCGGCACUGACGAGAAGGAUGACUCGCGUCGAGACAUCCAAGGUUGGGUGGUCUACUGGCCAGGCUCGUUGGGAUGGUGA
rnacentral:rRNA from 1 species